rnacentral:tRNA from 1 species
GGCGAGGUAGCUCAGUCGGUAGAGCACCGCAUUGAAAAUGCGGGUGUCGGCGGUUCAAGUCCGCCUCUCGCCA